rnacentral:rRNA from 1 species
AACGAACGCUGGCGGCAUGCCUAACACAUGCAAGUCGAACGAGACCUUCGGGUCUAGUGGCGCACGGGUGCGUAACGCGUGGGAACCUGCCCUUAGGUUCGGAAUAACUCCCCGAAAGGGGUGCUAAUACCGGAUAAUUUCUUCGGACCAAAGAUUUAUCGCCUUUGGAUGGGCUCGCGUUGGAUUAGCUAGUUGGUAGGGUAAAAGCCUACCAAGGCGACGAUCCAUAGCUGGUCUGAGAGGAUGCUCAGCCACACUGGGACUGAGACACGGCCCAGACUCCUACGGGAGGCAGCAGUGGGGAAUAUUGGACGAUGGGCGAAAGCCUGAUAAAGCAAUGCCGCGUGAGUGAUGAAGGCCUUAGGGUUGUAAAGCUAUUUUACCCGGGAUGAUAAUGACAGUACCGGGAGAAUAAGCUCCGGCUAACUACGUG